rnacentral:rRNA from 1 species
GAUGAACGCUGGCGGCGUGCCUAAUACAUGCAAGUAGAACGCUGAAGGAGGAGCUUGCUCUUCUGGAUGAGUUGCGAACGGGUGAGUAACGCGUAGGUAACCUGCCUGGUAGCGGGGGAUAACUAUUGGAAACGAUAGCUAAUACCGCAUGACAACAGUUAUUGCAUGAUAACUGUUUAAAAGGGGCAACUGCUCCACUACCAGAUGGACCUGCGUUGGAUUAGCUAGUUGGUGGGGUAACGGCUCACCAAGGCGACGAUACAUAGCCGACCUGAGAGGGGGAUCGGCCCCACUGGGACUGAGACACGGCCCAGACCUCUACGGGAGGCAGCAGUAGGGAAUCUUCGGGCAUGGACGGAAGUCCGACCGAGGAACGCCGCGUGAGUGAAGAAGGUUUUCGGAUCGUAAAGCUCUGUUGUAAGAGAAGAACGAGUGUGGGAGUGGAAAAUUCACGCUGUGACGGUAUCUUAUCAGAAAGGGACGGCUAACUACGUG